CACAGAUCUUCUCUAACUGAUACAUAUUUUGUAUUUUUCUAUAUUUAUGAGUAUAUAUUUAUAAAAUAUGAUGUAAUUAAAAUGUAAUAUAAUAAUCAUAUAUUUUAUGAUAUUCUAUACAUCUCUGUUGCAAAUGUUCUGACUCUUUUCAGUAUCAGCACAUAGAAGAAAAUAGAGUGUAACUGCUCUAUAGGAUGUGAAUGUGUAGACUAAGUUGUCAUCUGAACUCAAACCUAUAUGUGUAGUGACUCCAGGCUGCUCCUUUGUGAUGCCCAGUAAAAGAGUAUACCUUAAUCUGUAGCAAAAAUAGGAAGGCAGACACAACAAACUCUAGAAAGAAUCUCGAGUAAGAGGAGGUUAAAAUACCAGAAAAAAGGUUGCUGACAGAACCUCACAUUACUACGACAAUAAAUAGCUUUGGAUCCCAAAGCAACUACUCUAAAAGUUCCAAAAAUAAAAAUAAAAAAAAAUAGAAAUGCAUUUCUUAACUUUAUUUAUUUAUCUUGAGUGAGACAGAGACAGCACAAGUAAGGGAAGAGCAGAGAGAGAAAGAGAAAGAGAGAGAGAGAGAGAGAGAGAGAGAAUCCCAAGCAGGCUCCAUACUGUCAGCACAGAACCUGACAUGGAGCUUGAACCCAUGAAACCGUGAGAUCAUGACCUGAGCCAAAACCAAGAGUCAGAUGGUUAAUCAACUGAGGCCACCCAGGCAUCCCUAGAAAUGCAUUCUAUUUUCUUCAUUAACAGUCUCAAAACUGCAAUAGUUUUAUGGUGCAAAUGAUUUGGAAGACUGUUUUUAUCCAGACUCCUGGUUGAGCCAGGCAUAUACAUCAAUUGCUUGGUUCCCUUCUCUCUCUCUGUUCCCUUGAUCCUCCUGUGCUUUCUCUUGCUCACACUGCCCUGACUCUGAAUGUUCAGAUCCAUUGCCCAGCUGACACCUGUCGCUCUCCUGCUUCUCUGCCUGUUGAGAACAUCCUGACUCACCUUCUGGUAUUUGGAACCUCAGCUCUCUUAUAAUUUGUGAACACAGCUGCUCUUCUAGAAUGAUGAUCUCCUCAAACUCUACAUUGCGCUCCAGUUCGGGUUGACUUAGCUGGGAAGGAACUCCAGCCCCAUGCCAACAGAGAAGCUCCAUUUUCUUUCCAUCACCAGUAACGAGAGGAUUUCAGACAGAAAAAAAUGAAGCCUGAGAUUAAAAGAUACAGAGUGAGAGCCACGUGACAUGUCUCCUAAUCAUGAACUAUCUUAUCUGUGUUACCAUUCACACGAGAGAAGGGAAGACAGCGUCAUGUUGGUCAUAGGCAAAACCAUCUUGAAUUGAAGAGGCUCCCUGAAAUGGAAGGAGGGGGAAAUAACCUGGUAGAGGGAGACUUCUGGAUCUUUUUGGAAGGAAAUUAUGAAGCCACGAGGACAGUAAAAACUGAUUAUCUGAAGUUUACAAUUUGACCACGAUGAGGUCUAGAAGCAACAUAGCAUUCUUCUCUCCUCCCACACUAUCACCAUUUAGUAAAGCUUAAGCAGUAAUGAUGGAACGGUUUCCCCCCAUAAUCCAUAUCAUGGAGUGUCAUGCCUUUUCAGUGAUUAGUUACAGGGAUCAGGAUUCAAUUAAAUUCGGUAGGUUUAGGAGAUAUUGCUUAUAGAAUCUAAUCUGUGCUCUCAAGUGCUUGGAGCAAACUGGGAAUACGUUCCAAACAGGGUCAUUUUCAGGCUGCGGAGUAAAGAAGGCAGUCUCUACUGAAUGGAAUUGUGUUACUUGGAUAGAAAGAUUUGUCCUUUGGGUUUGGGGUACUUACUGUGCCACUCUGAAACCUACAAGUGAGUGAGUCUUGUUUGCAUGUUUCCAUGUACGCAGAGCUUGAGAGGGAGGAACAGACGGUGCAUAUCAUCUACUCAAACCUCCCUGGCCAUCACCUUCACCUCUCUGAACACUGACUUGUUCAUGUUCCCCUUGUAUUCCUGGGCAUGCUGACGCUGUCCUGCUGCAGGGCACGGAUGAUGAUUGAUCCAGGCUAACUAUGGUUGUUCUGUUUCCUGGACUGGUGAUUCACCAAGGGAUGGACAUAUUGUACAAUUCUGGUCAGUGCGUGAAGUCUGGAACUUCUGGAAAAGUGUUCCUUGACCUUAAGAAAAUGGAAAUAAGAAAAAUACCCAUUUUCCUAUCUGUGAAUGUCACUGUGUGAGGAUGUGAUACUGAUGGCAGUCAUCUUGUGACUUUAAAGACAAGUUUAUUGCAGGCCAGCUGACAUCACUGAGCUACCAAGUGAAGGUCCCUGGAAAUUACCCUGUGCCCAGACUUCCUAUUUGCAGAAUGCAUCCUAAGUGCUACAAACAUCAUCCCUAGAGGCAUCGAGAUUGUUUGGCUGGGUUGGAGAAGGAGUAACUCUGCAGACUCACAGAGAAGAUGUGGCUUGCUUAAAUUAUAGAAGCCAGACUUGCUGACGGGACUGCUAUAGGUUUUUCGCUGGACCAAGCGGUCACAUGGGGUGGGGCUCGUUAAUUUCAAGACCAUCGGCAUUCACUUUCAUUGGAAGUAUUUUUGUUUAGUAUGAUUUUGAGGUUAUUUUAAAUAAAAUAUUUAGCUUGCCUAACCAGGUAAUGGGAAAUCUUUAGCCAGAGGGUUAGCAACUAGAUUCAACCUUGUAAUUUAUCGCCUACAACUAUAAAUCAAGCCAAUGUCAGAAAGCUGAGAAAAACAAUAAACAAUGAGACAGCUGCCGCCUGGUCUGUCAACAAUAUAUGGCAAGGCGAGACGUGCCCAACAAUUACAACAAAGCCAUAAAUAUAUAUUCUAUAUUUAACUCCACAAGCUUAAAGUUGUUUGAUUUUCAUUAUUGAUGUUUGCACACCCUCAGGGUCUUAAAGGAUAAAUCCUUUAUCUUGUACUGUCAUGUUAUUAAGAAGAGAAAGUGCUUUUAAAAAAAUUCCAUUUUGCAUAGCUUCUCGGACCUUUGCCCCACUGGCAUUUGCAUCCUGAGCGUAAGGGAGUUAAUGCAUGUGUAGGACUGAAGAAUCCCAGCACUAAGGUAUCCAGAAGAGACAGGACCGAGUUUAUGAGUACUAGGAAGGCUGCGUCUGGUGAGGGUGGGGGCAGGUAAAGGGAGUUGUUUAAACUGUAAAGUUUCAGAGUCUUGUAACAGUGCUUUACAGAAAAAAUCUGUUAUAAAUAAGUCAUAAAGCCAUAACAUACUCUUUGUAAUGCCAGCUCCACGAUCUCUGCCAAGAAGACUUUUUUUUGUGGGAGAGUCCUCUCUUCCCUUUAGCAGCCUGCAUACUACCUAAGAAGCUAAUUCUUAUUGAUAGAUCAUCAUUAUUACAGGAGGCUGGAAGUGAUUCCCAUUCACUGCCUGCAAGUAACCCUUAAUUCCGACAGAAGACGUAAAGCCAAACCAAAAUGUCCUCUGUGUUUGGAAAAGCUGCUGUGCUUGGAUCAUGGCAGCCCCCUUUGUGGCAAAGACCAUCCCUGCAGAAUCACUUGACCCCGAGGUCUAACUCCUCCAGGAGAAUCUUUGACGAAAUAUACUGACAGCCACGUUACCACUGUUCCCAUCGUCCACGGUAAUUCUGCCAAAUUGGCAGUCAAAGCCACGCAAGGCUAAUCUUGUGCUGGGGAGAUUGUCUUCCCUCAAGUCCUAAUAGUAAGUACUUGGAUUUUCACAGCUCUCUCUGAAAUGCAAGGUCUUCUGGAAGCUUCCCUAAGAACCCCUCAUGGGCUGGACACAGUGGCUACCGCCUCCCUCUGAGCCACCUCACUCAUUUGUGGCCCAGAUCUGCCAGCAAAGGGUUUUCUCUUGUCUUAGUCACCUUUGUUCUAUUAGCGCGUUCUCAGAUGACUUUCACUGAAGGAUAUUUGUCCAGUAGCCUGCAGGAUUAUUUCCACAUUAUUUAAGAGCCCUCUCGAAGAAGUCAGAUGGGAAUGAAAAUGAAACUUGGGGGUCAGGGGUCCGUUGUGGGCAUGCCUUUAGAAAGUCCCAUCUUGUCUCAUAGGCAAGAGAUUUUUUCCUCCUACUUUCAGUGUGUGCUGACAGUGUCUGGGGAGACAUGUUCUCAUGUGAUCACUUACAAGAUCUCAUUUCGUGUUAGUGAAAUUAACACGCAUGACUAGUAAUUAAGUCUCACUAAAUCAGGAUUUCUCUUUUUCAUUUAAAUAUGAGCUUUAAUUACAUAAAAACAAUUGCCAUAAAACGAUUGCAUGCAUUUAUUUGAGCUUUGAGUGCCCUCUACUGGAACAAGAAAAAAGUAAAAAAUCAAUAGCACGGAGGGCUUGUGCGGUUCGGUCCUAACUACUAAGAUGUCCUCAUUAGUGUCGGGAAAAGAAGAAUAAUUGUAAGCGCUCAACAUCUGUCAUUCACAAUUAGCUGACAGUGCUCCAAACUUUUUCUAAAACUUACCCAUUAAAUGGAGCUAACAGUGCAUAUCUUCCAGAUUUUACGUUUACAGAAAAAUCCUGAAAGAUACCAACGUGAAACCUCUUCCUAGCUGGUUGGCCAGCUCUUAUUUCCAGAUACUGCAUGUCUCCCUGCUACUGGUGUUCCAUUUACAGCCAUGGCCUCUGAAACCAGUUGGCCCCCCGACCAAUUUCCUUCUUUAAACCUGUUCCUUCCAAAACCGUGCGUGAUGUGAACUUUGCUCUUCUCUGCCUUCACCCCUUGGGCUCUGGUGCCCCUCUGACCUCCUGCCUUCCCCCCACCGCCCCGCCCCGUGAACUUCCCAGCUCCCUCCUUCCACCACCACUCCUCCCUGUCAGCAGGACUGCACCUGAACUCACUUCCUUGUCUCCAUUUAACCAGUCUCUCCACGCUCCUUAUUCCAAUUCAUUUCCUAACUUGUCUGGACCUCAUGGCUUAUUAUUUCAACCACACUGUCAUCGACACACUCAUUUCCACCAACCCUUUGAUCGUCUGCUGCAUAAGCCUUGAAGUAGUCUAUUCUAUAACAGUCUAAUGAUUCAUUCUAACCGACUAAUUUCUAAGUUGCGAAGAACUGCUGAAGAAUAUCACACUGCUUUGCUCAUUGGCUGAUGAUACGUCCUUUUGGCCAGUCUCAGGUAGGACCUUGGAAAGGCUCAAUUCUGUUUUUCUUUUUUUAAAGUUUAUUUAUCUUUGAGAGAGAGAGAGAGAGAGAGAGAGCACAAUUAGGGGAGGGGCAGAGAGAGAGGGAGAGAGAAUCCCAAGCAGGUGCUGCACUGUCAGCAUGGAACCCAAUGCAGGGCUUGAACUCACGAACCAUGAGAUCAUGACUGGAGCGGAAAUCCAGAGUCAGACGUUUAACCGACUGAGCCACCCAGGAGCCCAGGAAAUGCUCAAUUCUUAUCUGCAGUUUGCUUGUUUUUCUAAUCCCUUGAGGAUUUUUCGUACCCUGUCUACUCUCCUUCUUGAGAUUUGUUUUGUUUCUUAAUUUUCAGAAAACAGCUGGAGCUACACAGUCUCCAUUCCUGCACUUCCCAAUUUGUCUUUAUCUGUGCCCGUUCUUCCCUUUGGCCACAGGAGACCAGCCGCUUCUCUGUUGGCUUUGGAUUCUAUUCCCUCCCAGUCACUCUUUUUUUUCUUCCAAUAGCUGUUUAGGUUUUCUCCCUCUUCCCAGGUACCUCUCUCUUGGACUCAGACUAUAAAUAUUCCAGAUUCUCCAGUGUUGUAUUCCCACCCAGACAAGGCAUGACCUACUCCCAACCUUGCCUCUCUCUCACAGACUGCUGCCCAUAUCUCCUUGGCUUCACUGUGAAGCAUCUUGAAGGAGUAGUCUGUACUCUAUGCUUCUGUUUCCAUCACCCCCUCACUCCGUAAAAGCCACUCAGUUUCAUUUUUCUAAUCACCAAUCAGGAAAUACUCUCUCAUAAGUAAUCAAAGUCCUCUGUAGGAUCAGGUUCUCAGGAUCAUCCACCUCACUGCUCAGCCAUUCAAAGUAGCUGAUGUACCAGGGCUCAAGACCCCUGCUUGCAUUCCAGGGCCCUGCCCAGCCAGAAGGAUGAAGGAAACGACACAAAAACACACACUUUUCCCCUGAAGGAUACUUACUGGAAGGUGUGCCCACCGCCUAAUGCAGUCCGGGUCUCAACCUUGCUACAGGGGGAGGUGGGAAAAAUAGUCUAGUCUGGUUGGCUAAAUAUGCAACUAAAAUGUAAGAGUCCAUUACUAAGGAAGAUGGAAAAACACUGACAUGUAGAUAUUUUAAGCUUUGUGUACCAAAUGUUAACCAAAAGCACAAACGCAUACACAUACACACAAAUGAGAUUGGGGUUUAAAGAUGCUAUAAAAUUAAGGGUCCCUGGGUGGCUCAGUGUCUGACUCUUGGUUUUGGCUCAGGUCAUGAUCUCAUAGUUCGUGGGUUCGAGCCCAAUGUUGGGCUCUGUGCUGACAGUGCAGAUCCUGCUUGGGAUUCUCUCCUCUUCUUUGUCCCUCCCCUGCUCCCUCUCUCUCCAAAAAUAAAUAAAGAUUUUUUAAUGCAAUAAAAUGCACUUUUUUUUGUUAUGACUUCCUGGAAUUUCCAUUUGAUACUUUGUGCCAUAUCUAUUGUUUGAAAAUUAUCGAAAUUUUGAAUCCCAAUAUAUACUUCAUGUUUUCUGAAUGUCUUCUGAAUAUAUAAAAAAAGGACAUACCUUUAUGUUGAAGUAAAAAGUGAACAAAUACAUACUAAUUUAUCCUUAUGGAUAUUAUAUACGGUUUUUGUGUGUAAGAUUAAAAAAAAUUAAUCCCCUUUAACAGACAACACCCUUACAUUUUCCUACAUAUUUUUCCUAAAAUGGUAAGCCAUUUUCUUUUUUUUUUUUUUCAAAAUGAAAGGAUUUUUUUUUCAGAUCGCAAAGGCUCUUGACAAUUAUAUCACAUUAAGAUCUUUAUUUUCUACACUAUAGCUAUUUCCAAUUUGUACUUUUUUUUAAACUCCACUGAAGUCAUCCUUUAGAGUAGUAAGCUACAUAUUUAAAGCCACACACUCUAAUUGCCAGCUGUUCUGAGUCUGACAAUAUUAAUAAUAAGGAAUUCAAUGCAUUUUACUUUAUCUACUCUGUUCUACUCCUUAACUGCUGGUAAUUGACCUUGGGUGACACAUCCAUUUUCUUAUUACAUGAUGAAUUUCAUAAUAUGCCACUGUAUGUUUGAAAACUGCUUUGCCUUGGCAUUUAUGUUUCUAAUCCACAUUUACAAUAUUUCACAUCACUGUUAAGCUUCAUUGGUCUGAAUGUUUACCUGGAGUUCUUUUAUGUAUAACUUUCCCAUUCUUGAAUUAUUGCUGUAAUUUUAAAUUUCCAACUUCAUCAGUCGAAGUACAUCUUUAAGUGUAUUUUAUCUUGUUUUGUUUUCAUAAAGGCAUGUAAGAGUUCCAUUUUC